AAAUCCCUUCAUUUCAAACAGCCGCAUACCAUGUCUUCCCCCAUUUCUCUGAUCUCUGCUAAUUUUUGCCAAACCCACAUACAACUAAGGACAUCAUCUUCUCAAAUAUAUACAAAACAUCCUACCCGCUCCCUCUCCCUCUCGAUCUCCUUGCCGGCAACCACAUCGGCCGACUGCCGACCGGUAUCUCAGUUCCGUUCACCGGUAAAAACCGAUUAGAUCAGGCAAUUUUGUUCUAAGAUUAUGCUUUCAAUAACUCACGGUUUAGCAUGAGACCAAACUUAUUGUAAAUAGUAACCAUACAUGAACAGUGAUGUUUAGACCCUAUGUAUUGUUGCUUUCAGUAGUAAAUCAAAGAAUAAAAAAAGGCAAACCAUCUAAACCGUGGGAGACCGGCUACUUCUUGAUGGUGAUGACGAUUUGCUGUUGUUGGUAAUGUUGGUGGUUCGGAUACUUCCAGAUCGAUUCAAGUUUGGUUAAAAUAGAUGACAUCAGCUUGAUGAUGGUUCGGGUUUUGUUUCGGCUCGGGUCACGGUUCGGUUCAGAUUAGAUUUAACGCGGGUCAAUUUGUCUAUACCCGUGUUAUACAUAUGUAUUUGUGUAUAUCCGAUGAAUAUGUAAUUUUAUUUUCUUUAUGUUUGUAGAUUUUAUAAUUUUUUGUUUGUAAAUUUGUAUAAAUUUAUUAUUAAU